AGCAGCCGCGGUAAUUCCAGCUCCAAUAGCGUAUAUUAAAGUUGUUGCAGUUAAAAAGCUCGUAGUUGAAUUUCGGGAUCAGUUGGUCGGUCGUGCCUCGGUACGUACUGGUCAAAUUGAUUCCUACCUUCUGACGAACCACGAUGUCAUUAAUUUGGUGUCGCGGGAAAUCAGGACUGUUACUUUGAAAAAAUUAGAGUGUUUAAAGCAGGCUCGCGCUUGAAUACAUUAGCAUGGAAUAAUGAGAUAGGACGUUUGAUUCUAUUUUGUUGGUUUCUAGGAUCGACGUAAUGAUUAAUAGGGAUAGUUGGGGGCAUUAGUAUUCAAUUGUCAGAGGUGAAAUUCUUGGAUUUAUUGAAGACUAACUACUGCGAAAGCAUUUGCCAAGGAUGUUUUCAUUAAUCAAGAACGAAAGUUAGGGGAUCGAAGACGAUCAGAUACCGUCGUAGUCUUAACCAUAAACUAUGCCGACUAGGGAUCGGAUGAUGUUAAUUUUUUAAUGACUCAUUCGGCGCCUUAC
rnacentral:misc_RNA from 1 species